rnacentral:rRNA from 1 species
GCGUGAGUGAUGACGGCCUUAGGGUUGUAAAGCUCUUUCGCCGGUGAAGAUAAUGACGGUAACCGGUAAAGAAGCCCCGGCUAACUUCGUGCCAGCAGCCGCGGUAAUACGAAGGGGGCUAGCGUUGUUCGGAAUUACUGGGCGUAAAGCGCACGUAGGCGGACACUUAAGUCAGGGGUGAAAUCCCGGGGCUCAACCUCGGAAUUGCCUCUGAUACUGGGUGUCUCGAGUCCGAGAGAGGUGAGUGGAACUCCGAGUGUAGAGGUGAAAUUCGU